GAUGAACGCUGGCGGCGUGCCUAAUACAUGCAAGUCGAGCGAACAGAUGAGGAGCUUGCUCCUCUGACGUUAGCGGCGGACGGGUGAGUAACACGUGGAUAACCUACCUAUAAGACUGGGAUCACUACGGGAAACCGGAGCUAAUACCGGAUAAUAUAUUGAACCACAUGGUUCAAUAGUGAAAGACGGUUUUGCUGUCACUUAUAGAUGGAUCCGCGCCGCAUUAGCUAGUUGUUAAGGUAACGGGUUACCAAGGCAACGAUGCGUAGCCGACCUGUGGGGGUGAUAGGCCACACUGGAAGUGAGACACGGUCCAGACGCCUACGGGAGGCAGCAGUAGGGAAUCGUCCGCAAUGGGGGAAAGCAUGACGGAGCAACGCCGCGUGAGUGAUGAAGGUCUUCGGAUCGUAAAACUCUGUUAUUAGGGAAGAACAAAUGUGUAAGUAACUAUGCACGUCUUGACGGUACCUAAUCAGAAAGCCACGGCUAACUACGUG
rnacentral:rRNA from 1 species